UGAUCCAGCCAUGCCGCGUGGAGGAAGAAGGCCCUCUGGGUCGUAAACUCCUUUUAUCCAGGGCUAAAAUGGGGCUAUACGCCGUAUUGAAGGUACUGGGGGAAUAAGCCACGGCUAACUACGUGCCAGCAGCCGCGGUAAUACGUAGGUGGCGAGCGUUGUCCGGAUUUAUUGGGUUUAAAGGGUGCGUAGGCGGCUUGUUAAGUCAGUGGUUAAAUCGUGUGGCUCAACCAUACUUCGCCAUUGAUACUGACAGGCUAGAAUAUGUCCGAGGAUGCUGGAAUGAGUGGUGUAGCGGUGAAAUGCAUAGAUAUCACUCAGAACACCGAUUGCGAAGGCAGGCAUCUGGGGCGUGAUUGACGCUGAGGCACGAAAGUGUGGGGAGCAAACAGGAUUAGAUACCCUGGUAGUCCACACUGUAAACGUUGGUCACUAGAUGUUCGGCCGCAAGGCUGAGUGUCCAAGGGAAACCGAUAAGUGACCCACCUGGGGAGUACGUUCGCAAGAAUGAAACUC
rnacentral:rRNA from 1 species